rnacentral:tRNA from 1 species
GGUCCCGUGGUCUACUGGCAUGACGUCUCCUUUACACGGAGAAGAUAGCAGGUUCAAUUCCUGUCGGGACCA